CAUGUACUCCCUCCGUCUCAAAAUUCUUGUCUUAAAUUUGUCUAGGUAUGAAUGUAUCUAGUCAUGUUUUGGUAUUUAGAUACAUCCAUUUGUAGACAAAUCUAAGACAAGAAUUU
rnacentral:pre_miRNA from 1 species